rnacentral:lncRNA from 1 species
AGCGUACAACAUAUUAGGUCUGUUCCUUUGUUUUUUAGUGUUACACUUUUGAGUGUAAGUGUACGAAAUUCUAUGGACAUUUGAGUGUAAAAUGACAGCGGAUGUGACAGCGGCUCAUGACAGCGGACAGUAUUAAACGAAAAUUAUCGGUGUGCCAAUCAAGCAAAGGGACAAGGAACUUCCGAAUAUGGCCUAACUGGGGGCACAUAACAUAACAUAACCUAAUCCUAAUAUUUACAUUUGUAAAGAAUAUCCUGUUUGUUUUUAUUGUCGAUUGUGCAGCGAAAUUGUGUGCAGCAAAUCAAAUAUAAAGUAGUUUAUCGCCUACAGAACUGAAUUAGUCCAUAGCAGUUAUCAGUUUUUCUUUCUUGGGAAGCUUAUACAUGUAACUUGUAUUGUUGUAAAUUGUGGGAGUAGGGCAGACAGGGAAAAGUCUUAUUUUGUACUGUUCCCAAGGCUCCCCAUGCAAUACAUUUAAAUGAAUUAUCCAAACAAAGCCGGGGACAAUGGAUAAAAGCCACAAGAAGAACAGAUAUAAGGGAACUAAAAUUAAAAUAUGAAAAGUAAACAUUUUAUAAGUGGAACAACCACCAGAUAUUUAAAAGGUAUAAAAAGAAGAAACUGCUAGAACUUCAAAACAAAUGUGUUUGACUAGUAAAGAUUUGGAUAAACAACAGGAGUUACUUUGGGCUAUAGCUAAGUGCAGAUUUAUUUCCUUGUGGCUUCCUAUGUUAAUUCUUAUUAAUUAUACACUUAAAUAUGUUUUUAGUCUCAGGAAGAUUUUAUAUUUGAUUAUUUUUGAAUAAAAAUUAUUAUUAUUAUUACCUUAAUUUCCAUUAAAUAAAUUAACUGUAAUCAAUAAAGUAAUCGUUUAAUUGUUAAUAAAUUAUCAAGUAUGAUUC